UGCNNGUCGUACGAGAGUUUUUAACUCAAGUGGCGGACGGGUGAGUAACACGUAAGAAUUUGCCUUUAGGAGGGGGAUAACAACUGGAAACGGUUGCUAAUACCCCAUAUGCUUUCGAGUGAAAUGGAUUUUCCGCCUAAAGAGAAGCUUGCGGCUGAUUAGCUUGUUGGUGAGGUAAUGGCUCACCAAGGCGACGAUCAGUAUCUGGUUUGAGAGGACGAUCAGACACACUGGAACUGAGACACGGUCCAGACUCCUACGGGAGGCAGCAGUAGGGAAUUUUCCGCAAUGGGCGAAAGCCUGACGGAGCAAUACCGCGUGAGGGAUGACUGCCUAUGGGUUGUAAACCUCUUUUUUCAGGGAGGAAUAAAUGACGUGUACCUGAAGAAUAAGCAUCGGCUAACUCCGUGCCAGCAGCCGCGGUAAGACGGAGGAUGCAAGUGUUAUCCGGAAUCACUGGGCGUAAAGCGUCUGUAGGUGGUUAAAUAAGUCAACUGUUAAAUCUUGAGGCUCAACCUCAAAAUCGCAGUCGAAACUAUUUGACUAGAGUAUAGUAGGGGUAAAGGGAAUUUCCAGUGGAGCGGUGAAAUGCGUAGAGAUUGGAAAGAACACCGAUGGCGAANGCACUUUACUGGGCUAUUACUAACACUCAGAGACGAAAGCUAGGGUAGCAAAUGGGANUAGAUACCCCAGUAGUCCUAGCUGUAAACAAUGGAUACUAGAUGUUGAACAGAUCGACUUGUGCAGUAUCAAAGCUAACGCGUUAAGUAUCCCGCCUGGGANNUAUGCUCGCAAGANUGAAACUCAAAGGAAUUGACGGGGGNCCGCACAAGCGG
rnacentral:rRNA from 1 species